ACCGCGCCCGGGUCGCACGAUAUUCUUCUUGGAGACUAAUUGUGUCUGUGCAGAUCCGCAAUAUAAUUUGCUCGCUCUGAGGCCACGACAGGCUUGUACAAUUGAAUCGGCUGCACUACAUUAUCCAGAUUUAGAUGUUUUUGUUCUCUCGGUGUGUUCAAGUUACCGGAAACCAAGCGAUCCAAUAAUCAACACGCUUCUCAGCUAUACGUAUGUUCAUAUACGUCGAGUUAAUUUGUGGCAAUUUUCAGCAGAGACUCCAGUUGAGAAUUGGAUCAGGAGGGAAAAUCUAUUUGACUCAAGAUAUCUGAUGAACAAUAUAUCCAAUCUGCUUCGCUUGUUGGUUCUAUAUCGUUAUGGUGGCCUUUAUUUGGACAUGGAUAUGUUAGUGCUGCGCAGGUUUGAGAAUGAAUCGAUCAAUUUUUUGGGUGCUGAACCCAAUUUCAGUGUUGGGAAUAGUGUUAUCGGAGUUAAGCCAUACGGAUUUGGACGCAAGCUUGCCGAACUAUUCCUGCUGGACUUUCAAAGAAAUUAUAAUGGCAACAUCUGGGCCCAAAAUGGACCCAGAAGUGUGUCCAGAGUGAUGUCAUAUGUUUGCAACACAAACAACAUUACUGUAAUGCAGCAGGAUCUUCUUCGUUGCCAAGGAAUUAAGAUUUUCCCAGUGAAAGACUUUUAUGAAAUUGCCGGUCAUGAGUUGCAGUAUUUCUUCGACCCAAAGUUUGCGAAUGCAACAAUGAAGCGAUUACAGAAUUCAUAUUUGACACAUAUAUGGAAUCACCAAAGUUCAAUGAAACCCCUUAAAGUUGAUUCUGAAGCCGGCUACAUUCAGUUGGCAGCUCAACAUUGCCCUGCAGUUUUAAAAGUCACUGAAAAGUGGUUCAAUUAAUCCUCAAUGGAACUUCUUAAUGCUUUUUCUCCCUUCUGUAUUGAGUUCGUUCAUUUAAUAGAAUAUACUGCUGCCAGUCCGAAUA